GUGACAUUCACCAUCACUCUCUGUGUGAUGAAAUACAUCAGUGUGUUAGACUGCACUGUAACAGGUGAAGAUGUGCAUCAUAUUAAACCACAGUCUGUCUCUGUAGGGUCGUGUGUGACUGUAGAUGUGUGUCUGCGUGCAGGUAUCAGCUGGAGAUCAGUGGAAGCGCAGCAGAGCCCAAGAACAGCACGCUGAGAAGAUCUUCAGACAGCAGAAGCUUCCAGAAUCCAGUCCAGACACAUCUGGAGUUCCCUGAGCACAGCGGCAGCGCCUCACGCAGAUCCAUGACUAUAGAGGAGGAGGGAUCCAGUGUUCGUAAUAGCUUGAAGAGCCACUACAAAACCUUCCACAAACUCUUCCCUGAGGUCCCUGAGACCGAGGAUCUGGAACACGGUGAGUCUCCGCUGCCUAAUGAUCAGCUUUACACAAUCUCCUUAACACCUCAGGUAUUUCUCACCGUCUGAGAUGAGAUGGAGAGCAAAUAUUGUCUUCAGUGUCUCUCCUGAGCAAAAGACGUCAGUAGUCUCAGAUGUGGCUCCUCAAGUGCAUCAGAAGAUUUCACAAUAAAGUACUCAUCUGUUUUAAAUACUGAUAAUAA
ensembl:lncRNA